UAGUUUUAAGCAGGCAGAUUCAUUUUCUGCCACCGAAUACAUUAGCAUGGGAUAAUGGAAUAGGACCCUGUCCUCCUUUUUUCAGUUGGUUAAUUCAUGACAGAGGAACAGGGUAAUGAUUAAUAGGGAUAGUUGGGGGCAUUAAUAUUUAAUUGUCAAAGGUGAAAUUCUUGGAUUUAUGAAAAAUUAACUUCUGCAAAAGCAUCUGCCAAGGAUGUUUUCUUUAAUCAAAAACGAAAGUUAGGGGAUCGAAAACAAUCAAAUACCGUCGUAUUCUUAACCAUAAACAAUGCCAACCACCGAUUAGGAAACUUUGAAUACAAAACACCUCUAUAUAUAAUUCAGUCCUAUGAUCAGUCAAAUGGUUGUAUAUUGUUUGUACAGAUUUACCGUGAAGGACUCCCCAAUGACCUUGUGAGAACUUGUGAAAAA
rnacentral:rRNA from 1 species